GGCAGCAGCUAAGAAUAUUCCGCAAUGGACGAAAGUCUGACGGAGCGACGCCGCGUGGAUGAUGAAGGCCGGAAGGUUGUAAAAUCCUUUUAUGACUGAGGAAUAAGUUUUCUGAGAGAAACGGAAGAUGGUGACUGUAGGUCAUGAAUAAGCAACGGCUAAUUACGUGCCAGCAGCCGCGGUAACACGUAAGUUGCGAGCGUUGUUCGGAAUUAUUGGGCGUAAAGGGUAUGUAGGCGGUUCUGCAAGUCUGGUGUGAAAUGCCGGGGCUCAACCCCGGAACUGCGUUGGAAACUGCAGGACUUGAAUCGCUGAGGGGCAGCCAGAAUUCCAGGUGUAGGGGUGAAAUCUGUAGAUAUCUGGAAGAAUACCAAUGGCGAAGGCAGGCUGCCAGCAGAUGAUUGACGCUGAGGUACGAAGGUGCGGGGAGCAAACAGGAUUAGAUACCCUGGUAGUCCGCACAGUCAACUAUGUACACUGGGUGUCCGCUCAUGAGAGUGGGUGCCGAAGCAAACGCGAUAAGUGUACCGCCUGGGGAGUAUGCCCGCAAGGGUGAAACUCAAAGGAAUUGACGG
rnacentral:rRNA from 1 species